rnacentral:rRNA from 1 species
CUACGGGAGGCUGCAGUGGGGAAUAUUGCACAAUGGGCGCAGGCCUGAUGCAGCCAUGCCGCGUGUAUGAAGAAGGCCUUCGGGUUGUAAAGUACUUUCAGCGGGGAGGAAGGGAGUAAAGUUAAUACCUUUGCUCAUUGACGUUACCCGCAGAAGAAGCACCGGCUAACUCCGUGCCAGCAGCCGCGGUAAUACGGGGGGUGCAAGCGUUAAUCGGAAUUACUGGGCGUAAAGCGCACGCAGGCGGUUUGUUAAGUCAGAUGGGAAAUCCCCGGGCUCAACCUGGGAACUACAUCUGAUACUGGCAAGCUUGAGUCUCGUAGAGGGGGGUAGAAUUCCAGGUGUAGCGGUGAAAUGCGUAGAGAUCUGGAGGAAUACCGGUGGCGAAGGCGGCCCCCUGGACGAAGACUGACGCUCAGGUGCGAAAGCGUGGGGAGCAAACAGGAUUAGAUACCCGAGUAGUC